UCAUAGACCUGGAGAGGGCUUCCCUAGUGGCUCAAACGGUUGAGAAUCCGCCUGCAAUGCAGGAGACCUGGGUUCGAUCCUGGGGUCAAGAAGAUCCCCUGGAGAAGGGCAUGACAACCCAUUCCAGUGUUCUUGCCUGGAGAAUCCCAUGGACAGAGGAGCCUGGCGGGCUACAGUCCAUAGGAUUGCAAAGAAUCAGACACGACUGAAGCAACUUAGCAUGCAUACAUGCAUGGACUUGGAAAGGAUCAUGCUUAGUGAAAUAAGCUAGAUAAAAAGAAGACAAAUUCUGUAUGUUUUCACUGAAACAUGGAAUCCAAAAAAUUAGAUACUUCCCUGGUGGUCCAGUGGUUAAGGUUCCAUACUUCCACUGCAGGGGGUAUAAGUUGGAUCCCUGGCUGGGUGGGGAACUAAGAUCCCAUAUGCCAUAUUAUGUGAUAGAAAACAAAAUACAAUUCAAAAAACAAAACAAUGAAUUUUUAAAAAAGAAGCCCCUGGUGCUGUGUAAAGUUCAUACUCCUGGUCCCACUGCUGAGUACUCCAUGAAGCACCAGGUGAACUGUGCUUCCAAUAAGAGCCUCAGUGAUUCUCAAGCUCGGAGAAGUAGGGAAACCCUGGUUUAAGGCGGGUCACAGCUGAGAAAGAAUGAACUUUCCCUCACCUUGACCAAACCGUCAACAGGUGAAGCUAAAUGGAAACCACCACCAUCAACAAGCAGGGGAAAAAACCUAUGCGAUUUCCUAGUGUUUUCCACAAGUACAUGACCCUUAACCACCAUAUAGCAAGGGUUUGUCACCAGGAUCUCCCUUAAAGAGCUUUCUCAGCACCCCCAGGAUCUUAUAUCAUUGGAUGAAUUGGGAGAAAACUGAGCUAAUGAGUGAAAUGGCCCUCCACAGAGUCCAUGUUGUUAUCCAAUCAACAUCUGUCUCCUAUAAAAGAAACUCAAAGAGCCGUGUUGGAUGUCUCAUCUUGAAAGGAGUUUGACGUUUCUACUUGUUCAAGAGCUGCAUUGCAAGCCAGACAAGAUUCAUUAUGAUCUCAUCACCUCGAGUUUAUGCUUUCCCUCUGGAUCGCAAGACGUUACUCCUGGUAAUCACAAUAAUUAUUACUGCCAUCGUUUUUCUCAUCAUUACUGGAGUGCUCAUUUUUUAUGAAGUCUGCCGAAAGCUGGAGGAAUUUAUCCCUCCCCAAGUGGAAGAAUCAUGGAGGUAUAGAAUCGAACACAUUGAAAUUUAAGCUUCAGCAACAGAUUCCAAUCGUCAGCACCUGACUAUCAUCUUAUCUGAAAUCUGAACCUCCUUGGGACUUUGAACCUUUUUAGUCGUUUGAGCAUUUUAAAAGGAAUAAACGUUGACUUUUUAAAAGGUUAUGAUUUUGGAAAGUUCUUGUUCCCUAUUGCCUCUGUGAAAUCUCUUCCUGGGGAAAGCCCUUUUUUCCCCUCAAAUAUGUGACAGACAAAUAUACCAGUGUUCUCCCACCUGUUUUUAUUUAUUUUUGGCUGUACUGGGUCUUCGAUGGUUUGUGUGGGCUUUCUAUAGUUGCGGGGAGCAGGGGCUACUCUUCGCUGUAGUGCAUGGGUGUCUCACUGCGGUGGGGUCUCUUGCUGCGGAGCGCGGGCUCCAGGGUGCUUGGGCUUCAGUAUUUGCAGCUCUCAAGCUCAGUUGCUCUGUCGCAUGUGGGAUCUUCCCUGAGCAGGGACUGAACCUGUGUCCCCUACAUUGGGAGGCAGAUUACUAUCCUCUGCACCACCAGGGAAGUCCUUCCUCCAAGAAAUUUUUGCUUGUACCAACUUCUUGCUCUCUUCGUCCCAUCACUUACAACCUACCUCUUACUCUGGCUUUUCAUAUCAGCUCCUGCUAAUUUUAUCAUGUACGGAGGUGACCCACUGAAGACUCCAGGUUCCCAACUCAUGACUCCUCACUUGCAAUGUCCCAGUCUUAUCUCCGCUAUUGAAGUGGAGCAGGACCCUAUGGCCCUUGCCCUGCAUGUCCUCAGCCUGCCUUUUGUGUGUGAAAAAAACUUGAGCCAAAGAAUAACUUUAAUCAGAGGGAGAAAAGGCGGAAGCUAAGAACAGCAGUCAAAUAGGACAAAACAAUAGUCAGUAAGCAAAGUCAAGGACCUUUAGAUCCUUCUCAAGGAUUAUAGAUAAUAUUCUGAGCCAUAUCCUGUGGGCUGUGUUGUAGAGACCAAACCCCUCACCAGGUGGAAGAAAUUAAUGACAUGAUUAUCGGACUGUAGCCAAGACAUAAGCUGCCACAAUUCCAAGAAUUUUCCCCAAAGAAAUGAAAACAAAUCAACCCUGGAACACACACACAAUGUCACAUGACCUUAUUUUACUGUUCCUAAAACUGACAUCAAAACCAUUUUCAAAAAUGGUUUUGUGCACUUAAAAACUUAAGAGAGUAGAUCUCAUGUUGUAUUCUUACAAAAAAAAAAAGCCAAGAAGCACAAUAAAUGGUUUGGAGGUGAAGGAUAUAUUUAUUACCUUGAUUUUGAUCAUGAUACCAUAGGUAUAGGUAUAUGUCCAAACAC
ensembl:lncRNA